rnacentral:misc_RNA from 1 species
CUCUAGCCACUCUCUCCAAACUCCUCCGCGCCUCUCUACUUCAUGCUCAGCAAAACCCUCCAAAUCCCUAGAAAUUAGAACUCUAUUACACCUUAAAUCUCUUCAUCGCAUACCUCGUCUUUGCAAUCCUAUCAUUGGAUUCCCUCUCUCUAAUUCGUCUCCAGUCAGCAACUACUACUUCAAAUCGAGUUCCUUCAAGGCUUACCUCGCCGCCAAUGAUUCUGCACCUAGUACAAAUGACAAAGAGGAGAACGUUCAAAAUGAUGUGAAAGCAUCAGAAAAAGAAGCAGAUGACAAACAUGUACCCAGUUUGAAGAACCUUAUUAAUAUUUAUAAAGCAUCUAUUCUUCAUGGAGAUGAGAGGACUGUACUGGACAUUGAGGCUAGGAUAAAUAUUAUAGAAAAUGAUAAUUAUGAAUUAACCCAGAAAGUUUCA